AACGAACGCUGGCGGCAGGCUUAACACAUGCAAGUCGAGCGCCCCGCAAGGGGAGCGGCAGACGGGUGAGUAACGCGUGGGAACAUACCCUUUCCUGCGGAAUAGCUCCGGGAAACUGGAAUUAAUACCGCAUACGCCCUACGGGGGAAAGAUUUAUCGGGGAAGGAUUGGCCCGCGUUGGAUUAGCUAGUUGGUGGGGUAAAGGCCUACCAAGGCGACGAUCCAUAGCUGGUCUGAGAGGAUGAUCAGCCACAUUGGGACUGAGACACGGCCCAAACUCCUACGGGAGGCAGCAGUGGGGAAUAUUGGACAAUGGGCGCAGGCCUGAUCCAGCCAUGCCGCGUGAGUGAUGAAGGCCUUAGGGUUGUAAAGCUCUUUCACCGGAGAAGAUAAUGACGGUAUCCGGAGAAGAAGCCCCGGCUAACUUCGUGCCAGCCGCCGCGGUAAAAC
rnacentral:rRNA from 1 species